AGCGAACGCUGGCGGCAGGCCUAACACAUGCCAGUCGAACGAACCUUUCGGGGUUAGUGGCGGACGGGUGAGUAACACGUGGGAACGUGCCUUUAGGUUCGGAAUAACUCAGGGAAACUUGUGCUAAUACCGAAUGUGCCCUUCGGGGGAAAGAUUAAUCGCCUUUAGAGCGGCCCGCGUCUGAUUAGCUAGUUGGUUGAGGUAAUGGCUCACCAAGGCGACGAUCAGUAGCUGGUCUGAGAGGAUGAUCAGCCACAUUGGGACUGAGACACGGCCCAAACUCCUACGGGAGGCAGCAGUGGGGAAUCGUGCGAAAUGGGCGAAAGCCUGACGCAGCCAUGCCGCGUGAAUGAUGAAGGUCUUAGGAUUGUAAAAUUCUUUCACCGGGGACGAUAAUGACGGUACCCGGAGAAGAAGCCCCGGCUAACUUCGUG
rnacentral:rRNA from 1 species